CCUACGGGAGGCAGCAGUGGGGAAUAUUGGGCAAUGGGCGCAAGCCUGACCCAGCAACGCCGCGUGAAGGAAGAAGGCUUUCGGGUUGUAAACUUCUUUUGACAGGGAAGAGUAGAAGACGGUACCUGUCGAAUAAGCCACGGCUAACUACGUGCCAGCAGCCGCGGUAAUAGGGAGGUGGCAAGCGUUGUCCGGGUUUACUGGGUGUACAGGGAGCUUAGGCGGGAAGCCAAGUCAGCUGUGAAAACUACGGGCUUAACUUGUAGACUGCAGUUGAAACUGGUUUUAUUGAGUGAAGUAGAGGUUGGCGGAAUUCCGAGUGUAGCGGUGAAAUGCGGAGAUAUUCGGAGGAACACCGGUGGCGAAGGCGGCCAACUGGGCUUUAACUGACGCUGAGGCUCGAAAGUGUGGGGAGCAAACAGGAUUAGAUACCCCGGUAGUC
rnacentral:rRNA from 1 species